rnacentral:lncRNA from 1 species
AUUUAGAAGAUGGGCGCGAAGCGCCCUCUACGGCUAGUAAAGUGAAUCCUCCGGCUGAGGCGGAGAAUCCUGGGGCUGAGGCGGAGAAUCCCGGGGUUGAGGCGGAGAAUCCUGGGGCUGAGGCGGAGAAUCCUGGGGCUUAGGUGGAGAAGUAUGGGCUUGGGCCAUACAAGUUUUGCCUUGGGCGAAAAAAACUUUGUAAAAGGAGUGGAGAACGAUGAGAAUUGGACGGAGAAACAUGGAACACAGGGUUGGAGAAUGAUGUGGAUGGGACGGAGAAACCUGUAACACGGGGUGGAGAAUGAUGUGGAUAGAAUGGAGAAACCUGGAACACAGGGUGGAGAAUGAUGUGGAUGGAACAGAGACACCUGGAACAAGGGGUGGAACAUUUUAUGGAUGGGUCGGAGAAACCUGCAGAACAUGGGUUGGAGAAUGAUGUGGAUGGGCCGGAGAACCCUGGAACACAGGGUGGAGAAUGAUGUGGAUGGGACGUAGAAACCUAGAACAAGGGGUGGAGAAUGAUGUGGAUGGAACAGAGAAACCUGGAACAAGGGGUGAAAAAUUUUAUGGACGGGACGGAAAAACCUGGAACAAGGGGUGGAGAACGAUGUGGAUGGGACGGAGAAACUUGGAAAAGGAAUGAAGAUCAAGGCGGAUGGGAUUGAGAAACCUGGAACAAGGGGUGGUGAAUGGUGUGAAUGGGAUGUAGAAAGUAGAAACUUGAACAAGUGACGAAGAACGAUGUGGAUGGGAUGGAGAAACGUGGACCACGGGGUGGAGAAUGAUGUGAAUGGGAUGGGAAAAGUUGGACAUGAGGAGCGCAGAACGAUGUAUGUAGAUGGGACGGAGAAAACAUAAUUUUUUUUCGGGGGGGGGGGGACAGGGGUGCAGGUAAGAGCUGGUUAAAUUUACAAUAGAAUGAUUUCUAGUCGAUGUGGAAAUGUUCCUUAACUUGCAACUUAGUGUCAGAAAAGAAAUCUAAAAACUAUAAAAAGCUCUAAAAAAUUGGUCAUUCUUUCAUGGACUGUAGAGUAGUUUCAAGAAACCAUCCGGCCAUUCACAGAUUGGCAUGUCUGAUUUAUGAAGGUACCAUUUCAAUCUUUAUCUGAGCAACAAUGGGAAAGAUUCAAUGAUACCGUCGUGUUUUCAUCAGGGUUAAAUUCUGUUCAAUACGUUAUUUGUCUCUGUUGUAUAAAAUCCGCAAUUUACUCUUAUGGACUAUAAGUUUAUUAAUUAACAUUUUUUAUCCAAAUACCAGCAAAUUUAAUAUCAUCAUUUUUACGCAUAAUUUUUUUUACGAAUACGAAUACUAUCGUGAAUCAGGCAUACCACUCAAGAAAUGGGAGUCUCUUAAAAAACCCCUAGAGACCUAUAAGAUGUAAAACAUGAUGUUGUGUGGAAUAUAUUACAUAUUACUGUGUAGAGUUAGCUCCGAGUUAGGAUUGAAACUCCGGAUUCUUAGUAAACUAUUGGAGGACAGAGACUACCAGCCUCAACAUUAUGUCCAGUCUUAUACUUCAAAACAUCUAUUUAUUUCACUGCACUGUUCAAUUGCAUAAAUAAACACAUAUCAAGUUCAA